CAAGCCGGUUCUGCCGGGGUGCUCUUCACCGAGUGUCCCGCGCGGCCGGCCAGUUCACCUUGAAUAAAUGAGAGUGCUCAAAGCAGGCUACUCUCGAAUACAAUGCCCGAAUGUUACCUGCAUGGAAUGAUGGAAGAUGAUCUCUGUUCCAUUUUCUUGGUGGUGGGAGCCAGAGGUAAUGAUAAAGAGGGACUGUCGGGGGCAUCCGUACUACGACGCGAGAGGUGAAAUUCAGUGACCGUCGUAGGACGAACAACAGCGAAAGCAUUUGCCAAGAAUGUCUUCGUUGAUCAAGAACGAAAGUUAGAGGAUCGAAGGCGAUCAGAUACCGCCCUAGUUCUAACCCUAAACGAUGCUGACUAGCAAUUCGCCGUCGUUAUUCCCAUGACGUGGCGAGACGCCCCCGGGAAACCUCAAGUCUUUGAGUUCCGGGGGUAGUAUGGUUGCAAAACUGAAACUUAAAGGAAUUGACGGAAGGGCACCACCAGGAGUGGAGCCUGCGGCUUAAUUUGACUCAACUCGGGAAACCUCACCAGGCCCGGACACCAGAAGGAUUGACAGAUUAAGAGCUCUUUCUCGAUAU
rnacentral:rRNA from 1 species